CCUACUACAUAUGGAGUAUAAAGUGGUAACGUAUUGCUAGCGCAUUUCACACGCUAAUCUCUCUCUUCCUCGUUCACAUGACCUAAUCUGAAGAUUGCGGCGACGACGACGACGCAGAUCUCAGACCACACCGCAACCAAAGCGUGGACAACUCCUUCCUUUACGAUUGCAAGUAGUUGAUUUCUAAGUAGGUACAUGCCAAUUAUACCAAUGGUUCUAAUCAAUGGAACUGAAGUCAUACUGAUCGAAGAUCGAUCUUAUAUCCCAAAAUAUAAUCCGAUGGACAUUGUUUCAAAUUUGAGGUGUUUACUAAAUGAUAAACCAAUGCAGCCCUAGUACAAAGGAUUUAGAGGAAAUAUUAAGAAAGCUGCAGCAGAUGGCUACACUAUUGAAGGACUAAUAGAGGAAGUCGAUGCAAUUACACUAAGGAUUACAGAGCUACCUAUUGGAGUAUCGUGUCAAGAUUAUAUAGACUUUCUGUGAUCGAUGACGACAGGGAAUGAUCCAUUCAUCAAGUCAUCUUACCUGCGGAGAACUUGAGCAUGGCCAAGCAUGAGGGUUUGCUUAAGAAAUUUAAGCUUACUACUACGAUCAAGGCAAGUAACAUGCGCCUGUUCAACCGAGAAGGCAUGAUUAAGAAAUAUGACACCCCUAUACAAAUUCUUGAGGAAUUCAUUCCUAUAAGAAUUGAAUUCUAUGAGGAAAGGAAGGAAAGUGGUUUAAAAAUGAAAUUAAAUUUUUGACAUUUGAAUUUCUUGUUUACUUUAUGGACAUGGCUGCUAACUAGAAAAUAAUUUUAUGCAGAAGUAUGUGUUAUGCAAUCUUGAAAUGGAAUUGUUGAAACUGGGAAAACAAAGUUAAGUAUGUAACUGAAGUUCUAGAAGGGAAGAUCAGUUUUUUCCAGGGGAACAUUGAUAGUCUGGUAAUGCUGUUGAAAGCAAAAAAACUUUAUGACUUUGGGGAAGAUAACAAAUACUCCUGAAGCAGCAGUUCCUGAAGAAGAUUAUGAAUACAUACUCAGAAUGCCACUUCUGAGCUUUUCUAACGAUGGGUAUAAGGAGCUAUGUUAUACAAGAGAUGUGCUUAAAAAUCAUGUUAAUGAUUUGAAAGAUGAAACUCCGAAGUCUAUGUGGUUGAAAGAUCUUGGCAGUUUUGAGAAGUUACUUCUUGAGGGUGUGAAACCCAGUGCAGUUCCGAAGAAUGCUUUUAAGAAGCAAAAGUUGUCAACUGUUGGUCCUCACCUCCGCCUCCACCAAGAAAGUAGUGGCAGUAAUUAUGGGCUAGUCCGACAUUGAAGGUGUUGUCACUCUCACCCAAGAGCAUAAUGGUCGAUUCUUCAGCUCUCUAAUUAAAUAGGUCUUAUAUUUUCUUGUUUUAUUUUGUUAUUAUGUUUCUAAACUUAUCAAAUAUUUAUAUGUUUUUGAGCUGAACUUAUCAAAUAUUUUUAUGUAUCAAAUAUUUAUAUGUUUUUGAGCUGAACUUUUCAAGUCUCUUUGUGUAUUUGAACUUUUCAAGUCUCUUUAUGUUGUCCUCGUGUCUCCCAACGGUUUCAUAUUCUCUGGUGAUCAAUGGCAGUUCAGUGGGUUUCUUCCAGCCAUCGCGUGGCUUGGGCCAAGGUAACCCUUUAUUGCCGUAUCUCUUUAUCCUUUGUGCCGAGGUGCUUUCUUUGGCCCUCUAGCAAGCCCAACAGGCUAAGAUACUGUCUGGGGUGCGGAUUUGUUGAGGUGCUCCAUCUAUUUUUCAUCUGUUUUUUGCAGAUGACUCUAUUGUAUUUUUCCAGGCUUCUGAAAUGGAGAUUGGCUCGCUUAAGCAUAUUCUUUCUGCUUAUGAGAUGACUUUCGGAUAAAAGGUGAAUUUUGAAAAAUCUGCCAUUUUUUUUCCUCUAAGAAUGCUCCUAUGCAAUUAAGGCGUACCUUGAGUCAGUUGUUGGGUCUGUCAGAGGAUGGGUUUCAAACAAAAUAUCUAGGGAUGCCACCGAUAAUUGGUCGGUCUAAAUAUGAUGUGUUCAAGUUCUUGUUCCAACAUAUGCAAGAUCGUUUAGCAUCUUGGCAGCAACAUGUUCUCUCAGAUGCGGGUAAGGAAGUUUUAAUUAAGGCAGUGUUGAAUGCUCUACCAACAUUUGUUAUGUCUGCUUUCAGGUUACCUCGUGGGUUGUGUUUUGAGUUAUUGAAGCAGGUGCGCUCUUUCUGGUGGCUGAAGUUUGGUAAAUGCAACUCCAUUCAUUGGGCUCCUCGGGAUCUCGUGCCAAAUUAAAAAGGAUGGUAGGUUGGGGUUUUGUGACAUUGAAGCUUUUAAUUUGGCUUUAUUGGCUAAGCAUGCUUGAAAAUUUCAAGUGUCUAAGCAAGGGGUGGUUUAUCAUUUAUUUAAAGUGAAAUACUUUUCAUCGUGUUCAUUUGUUGAUGCGAGACUUACAAUCCAUCCUGGGCUUGGCGUAGUAUUUUGUCGGCGCAGGAAUUGUUACGGCAUGGUUUGCGUUCGGUGGUGGGUAAUGAAAAUCUAUCCACAUUUGGAAAGAUAAAUGGAUCUCAGGUCUAUCACUGCCUUUGGGGCCGAGGGUGGCUGAGUCGGGUUUUUCUUGGGUUGAUGAGCUUAUUGACAGUAAUUGUAAUGCGUGCCGCAUGGAUGUAUUGCGACAAUUAUUUUCGUCCAUGGAAAUUCAGCGCAUAUCAAAGAUUUCUUUAUGUUAUGGCCAUUGGAGGAUAUUCAAAUUUGGGACGUUAAUGCUUCAGGUAGGUUUAGUGCUAAACCUGCAUAUCAGUUAGCCGUGUCUCUUGCUUCCUAGAAUCCGCAGAGGAGGACAUGAGCAGUUGGAACACGGGUGUCGGGAUAGUUAUGGAGUAAGCUGUGGAGUUUUUCUUUACCUUCUAAAAUCAAACACUUUAUUUGGAAAUGUUGUUAUGGAGCUAUUCCAACAGGGUAUACGUUAGUCCACCGAGACUACUUGUAAGAUCCGGUGUCUCCGAGGUGUGGGCUGGAGGUUGAGGAUAUUGCUCAUCUAUUUUUUAGAUGUUCUCACUCUGUUCAAGUAUGGAAGUUAUCUCCACUUCGUUGGGAUUUUUCUCAACAUUCUCCUCUUUAUUUUGUUGAAUGGUGGGAUAGAAUUUCGAGUGAUGUUUUACAUUCAAUGGAAAAUAAAUGUGUUAUGAUUGGGUUGGCUUCUUUUUGUAUUUGGAUGAUUUGGAAGGCUAAAAAUCAUUUGGUUUUUGCAAGUGAAGUGUGGGAUCCUCUUUUGGUGGCUAAUUUGGCUGCAGCUCGUUUUUUGGAAUUUUUUAAAAGUGCAGCAAAAAUGUAAGCAGCUAAUGUCUCCGUUGAAUUCUAUCUUGUCCUCAACAGUUGGAGUCGUUCGUUGCUGAACAUGAUCAAAUGUAACGUGGAUGUCAGCUUUUCCAAAUCUUCUUUGUUAAGGGGUGGAGGGGCGGUUUAUAGAAAGUCAGAUGGCUCUAUUAUCCAAGCUGUGAUCUUUAAGCCGUAUUCCUCCUCAUCUAUGUUUGAGGCUGAGACUUUUGCUUUUUGUCGAGCUAUUUAAUGGGCUAAAGUCUUUAAUUUUCAGGCGGUCUGUUUUGAGUCGGAUGCUAAAGUGGUGGUGGAGGCUUUGCCAGGAGUUCGCUCUGUCGGGGGUGAGGUAGCUUCUUUAAUGGCUGUUGUGCAACAAAAGCUUAAAUCUUUUCAUACAUUCUCCAUUGUUCAUGUGCGAAGGGAGGGUAAUAUGGCUGCCCAUGCUUUGGCUUCUUUAUCGACUGCUGAUAUAGAUGUCGAUUUGGUGCUUAGUUCCAUGCCAUCAUCAUUUCUUUGCAUUGUGGAGGCGGAUGUUGCUAUUUGAGUUUUUUUUUUUUUUGGGGGCCUUUGAGGGUCCAUAAUCUUCAAAUAAUUAGGAAUAUGGCUGGCUUGUAUGGUAUGACAGAGAUAGUCUGUGCAUUCAAAUGUUGUUUGGGUUGUUUUUCUUUUUCUUCUAUUGUUUAUGCAGUUUUUAGGCAA